AUUGAACGCUGGCGGCAUGCCUUACACAUGCAAGUCGAACGGUAACGGGCCUUCGGGUGCCGACGAGUGGCGAACGGGUGAGUAAUACAUCGGAACGUGCCCGAUCGUGGGGGAUAACGAGGCGAAAGCUUUGCUAAUACCGCAUACGAUCUACGGAUGAAAGCAGGGGACCGCAAGGCCUUGCGCGGACGGAGCGGCCGAUGGCAGAUUAGGUAGUUGGUGGGCUAAAAGCUUACCAAGCCGACGAUCUGUAGCUGGUCUGAGAGGAUGAUCAGCCACACUGGGACUGAGACACGGCCCAGACUCCUACGGGAGGCAGCAGUGGGGAAUUUUGGACAAAGGGCGCAAGCCUGAUCCAGCCAUGCCGCGUGCAGGAUGAAGGCCUUCGGGUUGUAAACUGCUUUUGUACGGAACGAAAAGCCUUCUUUUAAUACAGGAGGGUCAUGACGGUACCGUAAGAAUAAGCACCGGCUAACUACGUG
rnacentral:rRNA from 1 species